rnacentral:rRNA from 1 species
GAACGCUAGCUACAGGCUUAACACAUGCAAGUCGAGGGGCAGCGGGAUUGAAGCUUGCUUCAAUUGCCGGCGACCGGCGCACGGGUGAGUAACGCGUAUCCAACCUUCCGUACACUCAGGGAUAGCCUUUCGAAAGAAAGAUUAAUACCUGAUGGUAUGAUGAGAUUGCAUGAUAGCAUCAUUAAAGAUUUAUCGGUGUACGAUGGGGAUGCGUUCCAUUAGGUAGUAGGCGGGGUAACGGCCCACCUAGCCAACGAUGGAUAGGGGUUCUGAGAGGAAGGUCCCCCACAUUGGAACUGAGACACGGUCCAAACUCCUACGGGAGGCAGCAGUGAGGAAUAUUGGUCAAUGGACGAGAGUCUGAACCAGCCAAGUAGCGUGAAGGAUGAAGGUCCUACGGAUUGUAAACUUCUUUUAUAAGGGAAUAAACCCUCCCACGUGUGGGAGCUUGUAUGUACCCUAUGAAUAAGCAUCGGCUAACUCCGUGCCAGCAGCCGCGGUAAUACGGAGGAUGCGAGCGUUAUCCGGAUUUACUGGGUGUAAAGGGCGUGUAGGCGGGAUUACAAGUCAGAUGUGAAAUACCGGGGCUUAACUCCGGGGCUGCAUUUGAAACUGUAGUUCUUGAGUGCCGGAGAGGAAAGCGGAAUUCCUAGUGUAGCGGUGAAAUGCGUAGAUAUUAGGAGGAACACCAGUGGCGAAGGCGGCUUUCUGGACGGUAACUGACGCUGAGGCGCGAAAGCGUGGGGAGCAAACAGGAUUAGAUACCCUGGUAGUCCACGCCGUAAACGAUGGAUACUAGGUGUAGGAGGUAUCGACCCCUUCUGUGCCGGAGUAAACACAAUAAGUAUCCCACCUGGGGAGUACGACCGCAAGGUUGAAACUCAAAGGAAUUGACGG